UCUUUUCAUGUCGAAGACACGG
rnacentral:siRNA from 1 species